CUUUAACCUACAGCAGGCAGCCUGCACGCUUGAAUUCAUCCAGAGACACUUUGAGGGUAUAAACCCAGAAAAAGGGACAAAUGCUGCAAAGGGGGAGCAAGCUCAUGGACUUUCAGUGGGAUUUCAUUUGAAAAUGACCCAAGACUUCGCAAAGGAUCCUCAUUGUGUGCUUUGAGAAAAUGGUUAGUGGUCUAAGCAGUGACACUGUUUUUUUAUUUGUUUAUUUUGUUUAUUGUUCUUUAUUGAUGAUGAGUUAAGUAUCAGUUUGAAUGUAUUCAUACAUGUUGAAUUUUAGUGGUUUAGGUAACACUAUGUUUUGAGGGUCAGAAAUUUUUAUAAUGAACAAUGUAUUUGGGUGUAAAAUGAAUUUGCUAGUUUUUAAGCUAUGAACAUGAGAAAAUGAGA